rnacentral:rRNA from 1 species
GACGAACGCUGGCGGCGCGCUUAACACAUGCAAGUCGAACGGGGUCCUUCCUUCGGGGAGGGUUCAGUGGCGAACGGGUGCGUAACACGUGAGCAACCUGCCGGGUGGUGGGGGAUAACCCAUGGAAACGUGGGCUAAUACCGCAUGAGUUCAGCCUUUCGAGUGAAGGGUUGAGGAAAGGUGCUGCAAGGCACUGCCAUCUGAGGGGCUCGCGGCGUAUCAGCUAGUUGGUGGGGUAACGGCUCACCAAGGCAGCGACGCGUAGCCGAUCUGAGAGGAUGAUCGGCCACAUUGGGACUGAGAUACGGCCCAGACUCCUACGGGAGGCAGCAGUGGGGAAUCUUGCGCAAUGGGCGAAAGCCUGACGCAGCGACGCCGCGUGCGGGAGGAAGCUC